GUUGCGGUGGCCGAGCGGUUACGGCGUUGGACUAGAAAUCCAAUGGGAUCUUCCCGCGCAGGUUCGAGUCCUGCCGGCAACG
rnacentral:tRNA from 2 species